UACGUAGGUGGCAAGCGUUGUCCGGAAUUAUUGGGCGUAAAGCGCGUGUAGGCGGAUGGGCAAGUCUGCUGUGAAAGCUCCUGGCUUAACCGGGAGUGGUCGGUGGAAACUGCCAAUCUGGAGGACGGUAGAGGUAGGUAGAAUUCCCGGUGUAGUGGUGAAAUGCGUAGAGAUCGGGAGGAAUACCUGUGGCGAAGGCGGCCUACUGGGCCGGACCUGACGCUGAGACGCGAAGGCGUGGGGAGCGAACGGG
rnacentral:rRNA from 1 species